UGUCCAAUGCGGGAAUCGAACCCGGGUCCUAGUGGUCGAAAACCAAAUGGUUUAACCAUUGUAAACUAGACGAAUGGCC